UACGGGAGGCAGCAGUGGGGAAUAUUGCACAAUGGGCGCAAGCCUGAUGCAGCCAUGCCGCGUGUAUGAAGAAGGCCUUCGGGUUGUAAAGUACUUUCAGUCGUGAGGAAGGUGUUAAGGUUAAUAACCUUAGCAAUUGACGUUAGCGACAGAAGAAGCACCGGCUAACUCCGUGCCAGCAGCCGCGGUAAUACGGAGGGUGCGAGCGUUAAUCGGAAUUACUGGGCGUAAAGGGCACGCAGGCGGUUAAUUAAGUUGGAUGUAAAAUCCCCGGGCUUAACCUGGGAAUGGCAUUCAAGACUGGUUAGCUAGAGUCUUGUAGAGGGGGUAGAAUUCCAUGUGUAGCGGUGAAAUGCGUAGAGAUGUGGAGGAAUACCGGUGGCGAAGGCGGCCCCUGGACAAAGACUGACGCUCAUGUGCGAAAGCGUGGGGAGCAAACAGGGAUUAGAUACC
rnacentral:rRNA from 1 species